rnacentral:rRNA from 1 species
GACGAACGCUGGCGGCGUGCCUAAUACAUGCAAGUCGAACGCUGAAGGAGGAGCUUGCUUCUCCGGAUGAGUUGCGAACGGGUGAGUAACGCGUAGGUAACCUGCCUGGUAGCGGGGGAUAACUAUUGGAAACGAUAGCUAAUACCGCAUAAGAGUAGAUGUCGCAUGACAUUUGCUUAAAAGGUGCAACUGCACCACUACCAGAUGGACCUGCGUUGUAUUAGCUAGUUGGUGAGGUAACGGCUCACCAAGGCAACGAUACAUAGCCGACCCGGGGGGGUGGAAGGCCAAACCGGGAAUGGAGAACGGGCCAAGACUCUAAGGGGAGGAGCAAGAGGGGAACUUCGGCAAAUGGGGGAAAGCUGAACGAACAAAGCCGGGGGGGUGAAGAAGGUUGUCGGGUCGUAAAGCUCUGUUGUAAGGGAAAAACGAGUGGGAGAGUGAAAAGUUCACGCUGUGACGGUAUCUUACCAGAAAGGGACGGCUAACUACGUG